rnacentral:rRNA from 1 species
UCUGACGGAGCACGCCGCGUGAGCGAUGAAGGCCUUCGGGUCGUAAAGCUCUGUUGUUAGGGAAGAACAAGUACCAGAGUAACUGCUCGUACCUUGACGGUACCUAACCAGAAAGCCACGGCUAACUACGUGCCAGCAGCCGCGGUAAUACGUAGGUGGCAAGCGUUGUCCGGAAUUAUUGGGCGUAAAGCGCGCGCAGGCGGUUUCUUAAGUCUGAUGUGAAAGCCCACGGCUCAACCGUGGAAGGUCAUUGGAAACUGGGGAACUUGAGUGCAGAAAAAGAAAGCGGAAUUCCACGUGUAGCGGUGAAAUGCGUAAAGAUGUGGAGGAACACCAGUGGCGAAGGCGGCUUUCUGGUCUGUAACUGACGCUGAAGCGCGAAAGCGU